UUUUUGCUCUAAAUAAUAGAUAUUUAUUGUAUUUCACUACGUGACAUGCAGCAUGAAACAUGUACAGUUUUAAAGCAGCAGACAAUCAUAAUACUUGAAGUCCAACAUGAACAAAACGUUUUAUCACAAAUGCACAGAAAGCAUCCAUGAAAGCAAUCACCAGUUAAGGUCAAAGGUAUUGUACUCUCACACAGUGAAACAUGGACAGUAUAGCAGGUCUAAGGCAUUAUACUCUCACACAGUGAAACAUGGACAGUAUAGCAGGUCUAAGGCAUUAUACUCUCACACAGUGAAACAUGGACAGUAUAGCAGGUCUAAGGCAUUAUACUCUCACACAGUGAAACAUGGACAGUAUAGCAGGUCUAAGGCAUUAUACUCUCACACAGUGAAACAUGGACAUGGAUUUGGGAUUUUGGCUUAUUUUUUUUCAGAGGAUUUGGUUUUCUUUGUGUUUUUUGUGUUCAUUUUUUAAAAGUGCUGGUCCAUCAAGUAUGUCAUUAUCCCUUUAUUGAUAAUGCACCCCUCACCUUCAAUCAGAAUGCAAAGUCGACCUCCAUGAUAAACCCUGGUUUGUGGCACCACCAGUCCUGAUCAGUAGGACUUUCUGGUUUCCUAUGCAACUCUAGACAGGACAAUAAGGGCUGUGCCAGCCAACCACAUUACAGGGAAAUAAUGUUUCCUGUCUCAGGAAUCUGGAAUCCCAACAGGGUCUGGUCAGAGUACAUUAGUUCAGAUACACCUGUUACUGUCAGCCUUUCACUCAAAAGACUGGGCAUUGUUGGCCAACAGAGAUAUUUUUUGUCCGUUGCCUGUCUGUGCGGUCAGUUGGCUCCCUCUACAGGUUGCAGUGAGACCUGCAGGAUGUCCACGUGGUUGUAGAACUCAGGCAUUGGUAGAGAAUAGGAGGAGGAGGAGGUGUGGGCAGAAGAAGACUAACAGAGGCAUAGAAGAGGAAGAGGAGGAGAAAGUGGGGAUAGACUCCUGCUGAAUCUUCUCAAUGAACUCUGUUAGCCAGGGUAACUGGGACCACUUCCUUCUCGCCAGAAUCUCCCUCUCUACCAGCUGUCUGACAAGGAACAGGAAAUUGUUCCACUGCAAAGAAGCACAUGACAAAGAACAUGGAUGGCUCUG
ensembl:lncRNA